AUUGAACGCUGGCGGCAUGCCUUACACAUGCAAGUCGAACGGUAACGCGGGGCAACCUGGCGACGAGUGGCGAACGGGCGAGUAAUGUAUCGGAACGUGCCCAGUUGUGGGGGAUAACUGCUCGAAAGAGCAGCUAAUACCGCAUACGACCUGAGGGUGAAAGCGGGGGAUCGCAAGACCUCGCGCAGUUGGAGCGGCCGAUAUCAGAUUAGGUAGUUGGUGGGGUAAAGGCUCACCAAGCCAACGAUCUGUAGCUGGUCUGAGAGGACGACCAGCCACACUGGGACGGAGACACGGCCCAGACUCCUACGGGAGGCAGCAGUGGGGAAUUUUGGACAAUGGGCGCAAGCCUGAUCCAGCCAUGCCGCGUGCGGGAAGAAGGCCUUCGGGUUGUAAACCGCUUUUGUCAGGGAAGAAAAGACUCCUGUUAAUACCGGGGGUUCAUGACGGUACCUGAAGAAUAAGCACCGGCUAACUACGUGCCAGCCGCCGCGGUAA
rnacentral:rRNA from 1 species